UACGUAGGGUGCGAGCGUUGUCCGGAAUUAUUGGGCGUAAAGAGCUCGUAGGCGGUUUGUCGCGUCUGCUGUGAAAUCUGGGGGCUCAACCCCCAGCCUGCAGUGGGUACGGGCAGACUAGAGUGCGGUAGGGGAGAUUGGAAUUCCUGGUGUAGCGGUGGAAUGCGCAGAUAUCAGGAGGAACACCAAUGGCGAAGGCAGAUCUCUGGGCCGUAACUGACGCUGAGGAGCGAAAGCAUGGGGAGCGAACAGG
rnacentral:rRNA from 1 species